rnacentral:rRNA from 1 species
AAUGAACGUUGGCGGCGUGCCUAACACAUGCAAGUCGAAGGAGAAGCCGGGCUUCGGGCCCGGUGGAAACUGGCGCACGGGUGAGUAACGCGUGGGUAUCUACCUCGGGGUGGGGAAUAACCGCUGGAAACGGCGGCUAAUACCGCAUACGCCUUCAGAGGGAAAGCUCCGGCGCCCUGAGAGGAGCCCGCGUUGGAUUAGCUUGUUGGUGGGGUAAUGGCCUACCAAGGCUACGAUCUAUAGCUGGUCUGAGAGGAUGAUCAGCCACACUGGGACUGAGACACGGCCCAGACUCCUACGGGAGGCAGCAGUGGGGAAUAUUGGACAAUGGGCGCAAGCUUGAUCCAGCCAUGCCGCGUGAGUGAAGAAGGCCUUAGGGUUGUAAAGCUCUUUCACCUGCGAAGAUGAUGACGGUAGCAGGAGAAGAAGCCCCGGCUAACUCCGUG